rnacentral:rRNA from 1 species
GAUGAACGCUGGCGGCGUGCCUAAUACAUGCAAGUCGAGCGAACGGACGAGAAGCUUGCUUCUCUGAUGCUAGCGGCGGACGGGUGAGUAACACGUGGAUAACCUACCUAUAAGACUGGGAUAACUUCGGGAAACCGGAGCUAAUACCGGAUGAUAUUUUGAACCGCAUGGUUCAAAAGUGAAAGACGGUCUUGCUGUCACUUAUAGAUGGAUCCGCGCCGCAUUAGCUAGUUGGUAAGGUAACGGCUUACCAAGGCAACGAUGCAUAGCCGACCUGAGAGGGUGAUCGGCCACACUGGAACUGAGACACGGUCCAGACUCCUACGGGAGGCAGCAGUAGGGAAUCUUCCGCAAUGGGCGAAAGCCUGACGGAGCAACGCCGCGUGAGUGAUGAAGGUCUUCGGAUCGUAAAACUCUGUUAUUAGGGAAGAACAUAUGUGUAAGUAACUGUGCACAUCUUGACGGUACCUAAUCAGAAAGCCACGGCUAACUACGUG